rnacentral:rRNA from 1 species
GACGAAGGAUGCAAGCGUUAUCCGGAUUCAUUGGGUUUAAAGGGAGCGUAGGCGGCCUGAUAAGUCAGUGGUGAAAUCUCCUCGCUUAACAGGAAUGAAUGCCAUUGAUACUGUUGGGCUUGAGUACAGUUGCCGUUGGCGGAAUAUGACAUGUAGUGGUGAAAUACAUAGAGAUGUCAUAGAACACCGAUUGCGAAGGCAGCUAACGAAACUGUAACUGACGCUGAGGCUCGAAAGUGCGGGGAUCAAACAGG